rnacentral:rRNA from 1 species
UACGUAGGGACCAAGCGUUGCUCGGAAUUAUUGGGCGUAAAGCGCACGUAGGCGGCUUAGCAAGUUGGAUGUGAAAUCCCUCGGCUUAACCAAGGAAGUGCAUCCAAAACUGCUGAGCUUGAGUACUUAAGAGGAUCGCGGAAUUCCCGGUGUAGAGGUGAAAUUCGUAGAUAUCUGGAGGAACACCGGUGGCGAAGGCGGCAUCCUGGACCAUACUGACGCUGAUGAGCGAAAGCCAGGGGAGCAAACGGG